AGGGUAUGGCAUGCCAUAUAAACAUACAGAGUUCGCAGUACUGCUACCGAUACAUGAUCUAUAUUUGAGGUUACAUAUCUGGUACCUCAUAAGCAUGGUCACAGAGCUCUGCUAUCACAGUUUUGGCCUCUGAGCCUACCGUUCGGCACCCUGUGCCUACCGUUAUAACUCCUUAUCUACCUAGUCGAUCCUACUAUGUGUUUAUAAGGGCUAAGAUCUUAAUUA
rnacentral:lncRNA from 1 species